rnacentral:rRNA from 1 species
CAGUAGCCGCGGGAACACGGAGGGAGCUAGCGUUGUUCGGAAUUACUGGGCGUAAAGCGCGCGUAGGCGGUUACUCAAGUCAGAGGUGAAAGCCCGGGGCUCAACCCCGGAACUGCCUUUGAAACUAGGUGACUAGAAUCUUGGAGAGGUCAGUGGAAUUCCGAGUGUAGAGGUGAAAUUCGUAGAUAUUCGGAAGAACACCAGUGGCGAAGGCGACUGACUGGACAAGUAUUGACGCUGAGGUGCGAAAGCGUGGGGAGCAAACAGGAUUAGAUACCCCGGUAGUCCCUGUCUCUUAUAA